rnacentral:rRNA from 1 species
AUAUGGUAGGAGAGCGUUCUGUAAGCCUGCGAAGGUGUCUUGUAAAGGAUGCUGGAGGUAUCAGAAGUGCGAAUGCUGACAUGAGUAGCGAUAAUGGGGGUGAAAAGCCUCCACGCCGUAAGCCCAAGGUUUCCUGUUCAACGUUCAUCGGAGCAGGGUGAGUCGGCCCCUAAGGCGAGGCAGAGAUGCGUAGCUGAUGGGAAGCAGGUUAAUAUUCCUGCACCGUCGUAUGAUGCGAUGGGGGGACGGAUCGCGGAAGGUUGUCUGACUGUUGGAAUAGUCAGUUUCUGUCUCAUAGAAGGCGCUUAGGCAAAUCCGGGCGCGGAAUUCAAGGGGAUGGGACGAGUGCACUUGUGCACGAAGCAAUCGGAAGUGGUUCCAAGAAAAGCCUCUAAGCUUCAGUCAUACGAGACCGUACCGCAAACCGACACAGGUGGGCGAGAUGAGUAUUCUAAGGCGCUUGAGAGAACUCGGGAGAAGGAACUCGGCAAAUUGGUACCGUAACUUCGGGAAAAGGUACGCCCCGGUAGCUUGAUUGGUUUACUCCAUGAGGGUGAAAGGGUUGCAAUAAACUGGUGGCUGCGACUGUUUAAUAAAAACACAGCACUCUGCAAACACGAAAGUGGACGUAUAGGGUGUGACGCCUGCCCGGUGCUGGAAGAUUAAAUGAUGGGGUGCAAGCUCUUGAUUGAAGUCCCAGUAAACGGCGGCCGUAACUAUAACGGUCCUAAGGUAGCGAAAUUCCUUGUCGGGUAAGUUCCGACCUGCACGAAUGGCGUAACGAUGGCCACACUGUCUCCUCCCGAGACUCAGCGAAGUUGAAAUGUUUGUGAUGAUGCAAUCUACCCGCGGCUAGACGGAAAGACCCCAUGAACCUUUACUGUAGCUUUGCAUUGGACUUUGAACCAAUCUGUGUAGGAUAGGUGGGAGGCUUUGAAGCGGGGACGCUAGUUCUCGUGGAGCCAACCUUGAAAUACCACCCUGGUUUGUUUGAGGUUCUAACCUUGGUCCGUUAUCCGGAUCGGGGACAGUGCAUGGUAGGCAGUUUGACUGGGGCGGUCUCCUCCUAAAGUGUAACGGAGGAGUUCGAAGGUACGCUAGAUACGGUCGGACAUCGUGUUGAUAGUGCAAUGGCAUAAGCGUGCUUAACUGCGAGACUGACAAGUCGAGCAGGUACGAAAGUAGGACAUAGUGAUCCGGUGGUUCUGUAUGGAAGGGCCAUCGCUCAACGGAUAAAAGGUACUCUGGGGAUAACAGGCUGAUUCCUCCCAAGAGUUCAUAUCGACGGGGGAGUUUGGCACCUCGAUGUCGGCUCAUCACAUCCUGGGGCUGUAGCCGGUCCCAAGGGUAUGGCUGUUCGCCAUUUAAAGUGGUACGUGAGCUGGGUUUAAAACGUCGUGAGACAGUUUGGUCCCUAUCUGCCGUGGGCGUUGGAAAUUUGAAGGGGGCUGCUCCUAGUACGAGAGGACCGGAGUGGACGAACCUCUGGUGUACCGGUUGUCACGCCAGUGGCAUUGCCGGGUAGCUAAGUUCGGAAGAGAUAACCGCUGAAAGCAUCUAAGCGGGAAACUUGCCUUGAGAUGAGAUUUCCCAGAGCCUUGAGCUCUUUGAAGGGUCGUUCGAGACCAGGACGUUGAUAGGCUGGGUGUGGAAGUGCAGUAAUGCAUUAAGCUAACCAGUACUAAUUGCCCGUACGGCUUGUCCCUAUAACCUUAGCAGGU